rnacentral:rRNA from 1 species
GACGAACGCUGGCGGCGUGCCUAAUACAUGCCAGUCGAACGCAUUUUCUUUCACCGUAGCUUGCUACACCGAAAGAAAAUGAGUGGCGAACGGGUGAGUAACACGUGGGUAACCUGCCCAUCAGCGGGGGAUAACACUUGGAAACAGGUGCUAAUACCGCAUAAUUCCAUUUACCGCAUGGUAGAUGGGUGAAAGGCGCUUUUGCGUCACUGAUGGAUGGACCCGCGGUGCAUUAGCUAGUUGGUGGGGUAACGGCCUACCAAGGCUGCGAUGCAUAGCCGACCUGAGAGGGUGAUCGGCCACACUGGGACUGAGACACGGCCCAGACUCCUACGGGAGGCAGCAGUAGGGAAUCUUCGGCAAUGGACGCAAGUCUGACCGAGCAACGCCGCGUGAGUGAAGAAGGUUUUCGGAUCGUAAAACUCUGUUGUUAGAGAAGAACAAGGAUGAGAGUGGAAAGUUCAUCCCUUGACGGUAUCUAACCAGAAAGCCACGGCUAACUACGUG